rnacentral:tRNA from 1 species
AGUCGCAUAGCUCAGUUGGUUAGAGCAUUCGCCUGAUACGCGAAGGGUCCGCAGUUCGAGUCUGCGUGUGACUA